rnacentral:rRNA from 1 species
UGGGGAAUUUUGGACAAUGGGCGAAAGCCUGAUCCAGCAAUGCCGCGUGUGUGAAGAAGGCCUUCGGGUUGUAAAGCACUUUUGUCCGGGAAAGAAAUCCUUGGCUCUAAUACAGUCGGGGGAUGACGGUACCGGAAGAAUAAGCACCGGCUAACUACGUGCCAGCAGCCGCGGUAAUACGUAGGGUGCAAGCGUUAAUCGGAAUUACUGGGCGUAAAGCGUGCGCAGGCGGUUUGCUAAGACCGAUGUGAAAUCCCCGGGCUCAACCUGGGAACUGCAUUGGUGACUGGCAGGCUAGAGUAUGGCAGAGGGGGGUAGAAUUCCACGUGUAGCAGUGAAAUGCGUAGAGAUGUGGAGGAAUACCGAUGGCGAAGGCAGCCCCCUGGGCCAAUACUGACGCUCAUGCACGAAAGCGUGGGGAGCAAACAGGAUUAGAUACCCUGGUAGUCCACGCCCUAAAACGAUGUCAACUAGUUGUUGGGGAUUCAUUUCCUUAGUAACGUAGCUAACGCGUGAAGUUGACCGCCUGGGGAGUACGGUCGCAAGAUUAAAACUUAAAGG